GGGGCUGCUCUGGAUUCGACAGGAUUCAAUGAUGCCGGAGGUGCAUGCAGAGGUGCGGUUUGCCUCUUUAAAAAGCCGCAAAAAAAUAGUCGCAAACGACGAAAACUACGCACUAGCAGCUUAAUACCCUGUUCAGAGCCUCUUUGCCCUAGCUUCCGCCUUUAAGACGGGGAGUUCAAAGAGUCAAACCCAAAAAGGAUCGUGUGGAUGCUCCCACCUGAGAGCUGAAUCACUAAAUUUAAUUCAGGUUAGUUUUAUGAUGGCGUGUCUGUCCGCAGUCAUAGAGUGAAUGUAAAGACUGACUAAGCAUGUAGUACCAAACGCUGACGCUUUCUGGACGCGGGUUCAAUUCCCGCCAGCUCCACCA
rnacentral:tmRNA from 1 species